rnacentral:rRNA from 1 species
GCACGCAGACUUCGGUCUGAGUGGCAGACGGCUGAGUACGCGUGGGUGACUACCUGUUGGUGGGGAAUAACUGCCCGAAAGGGUGGCUAAUACCGCAUGAGCCUACUGAUCCAUUUCAGUAUGGAAAGUCGCAAUGCGCCGAUGGAGCGGCCCGCGUACGAUAAGCUUGUUGGUGGGGUAACGGCCUACCAAGGCGACGAUCGAUAGCUGGUCUCAUAGGAUGAUCAGUCAGACUGGGACUGAUACACGGUCCAUACUCCUACGGGAGGCAGCAGUUAUGAAUUUUGGGCAAUGGGCGAAAGCCUGACCCAGCAACGCCGCGUGGGUGACGAAGGCCUUCGGGUUGUAAAGCCCUUUUCUCAGGGAAGAUGAUGACGGUACCUGAGGAAGAAUCACCGGCUAACUACGUGCCAUCAGCCGCGGUAAU